UAAGGAAUAUUGGUCAAUGGACGCAAGUCUGAACCAGCCAUGCCGCGUGAAGGAUGAAGGUCCUCUGGAUUGUAAACUUCUUUUAUCUGGGACGAAAACGGGAUUUUUAUCUCAAUUGACGGUACCAGAGGAAUAAGCACCGGCUAACUCCGUGCCAGCAGCCGCGGUAAUACGGAGGGUGCGAGCGUUAUCCGGAUUUACUGGGUUUAAAGGGUGCGUAGGUGGGCUUAUAAGUCAGUGGUGAAAUCUCCGAGCUUAACUUGGAAACUGCCGUUGAUACUAUAGGUCUUGAAUUAUCUGGAGGUAAGCGGAAUAUGUCAUGUAGCGGUGAAAUGCUUAGAUAUGACAUAGAACACCAAUUGCGAAGGCAGCUUGCUAAGCUGUAACUGACGCUGAGGCACGAAAGCGUGGGGAGCAAAC
rnacentral:rRNA from 1 species